GAGAAACAAUAUUUUAAAAAAAAUAUAAUUAUGCUUUUAUAUGAAAAUUACUAAAUAUUAAAAUUUUGUACACAUUCUCCUCUGUUGUUUGAUGUCUAGCCUGAUUUAAUUUAGUGACAAACGAUAUAUCAGUCAACAUCAUUUGGGUCAGUCGAUUUUUAUACAUUUCAACUCUCAAGCUACAAAUCAACAAAUGCUUAAGCAGAAAUCUCAUCGGAUUUUUUUCUUUUCUUUUUUGGGAAGUUAGAGAUUAAAUUCAUUAACAUAGCAC
rnacentral:misc_RNA from 1 species